AUGACUCUGACCUGCGUCCUCAUCUGGACUCUCCUCUGCUGCUGCUUCACAGAGUCCAGAGGCCAAGUCACAGUGACUCAGCCUGGAGCAGUGAGAUCAGCUGUGGGAAACUCCGCCACCAUCUCAUGCAGAACCAGUCAGAAUGUUUAUAGCUCAAACUAUUUAGCCUGGUACCAACAGAGAGAUGGAGAAACUCCUAAACUGCUCAUUUACUAUGCUUCCACUCGAGCAUCAGGGAUUCCAGGUCGUUUUACAGGCAGUGGAUCAAACUCUGACUUCACUCUGACCAUCAGUGGAGUCCAGGCUGAAGAUGCUGCAGUUUACUACUGUCAGAGUGCUCACUACAUCAACAGUCAAUACGUGUUCACACAGUGA